GGCGAACAUGAGUGGGUGCGAACGUGAGUGGGUGCGAACGUGAAUGGGCGCGAACGGACCCGGAUUCGUCCUUGACUUUGGUAAAAUCCUUCUAUCAACCCCUGAUGCACAAACAAAACUUUUCUCUAUUUGUAUUACACAAUUGAUUAAAGUUAAUUAUCAUCAGAUUCUUAAGGAAACCUUGAGACACAUUUGUAUAAUGUGAC
rnacentral:lncRNA from 1 species